rnacentral:rRNA from 1 species
UACGGAGGGUGCAAGCGUUAUCCGGAUUCACUGGGUUUAAAGGGUGCGUAGGUGGACAGGUAAGUCAGUGGUGAAAUCCCCGAGCUUAACUCGGGAACUGCCGUUGAUACUAUCUGUCUUGAAUAUCGCGGAGGUUAAGCGGAAUAUGUCAUGUAGCGGUGAAAUGCUUAGAUAUGAACAUAGAACACCGAUUGCGAAGGCAGCUUACUACACGAUCAUUGACACUGAGGCACGAAAGCGUGGGGAGCAAACAGG